rnacentral:rRNA from 1 species
ACUCAAAUGAAUAGACGGGGGCCCGCACAAGCGGUGGAGCAUGUGGUUCAAUUCGACGCAACGCGAAGAACCUUACCUGGGCUCGAACGGCCGGUUAACGGAGGCGGAAACGCUUUUACCCCGCAAGGGGGUCCGGUCGAGGUGCUGCAUGGCUGUCGUCAGCUCGUGUCGUGAGAUGUUGGGUUAAGUCCCGCAACGAGCGCAACCCUUGUCCUGUGUUGCCAUGCCCGAAAGGGCGGAACUCGCAGGAGACCGCCAGCGAUAAGCUGGAGGAAGGUGGGGAUGACGUCAAGUCCUCAUGGCCUUUAUGUCCAGGGCUACACACGUGCUACAAUGGGCGGUACAAAGCGCCGCGAACCCGCGAGGGGGAGCCAAUCGCAGAAAACCGCUCUCAGUUCGGAUUGCAGGCUGCAACUCGCCUGCAUGAAGCUGGAAUCGCUAGUAAUGGCAGAUCAGCACGCUGCCGUGAAUACGUUCCCGGGCCUUGUACACACCGCCCGU